rnacentral:rRNA from 1 species
UUUCGAAUCAUUCACAAUGGGCGAAAGCCUGAUGGUGCGACGCCGCGUGAGGGAUGAAGGCCUUCGGGUUGUAAACCUCUGUCACCGGGGAAGAAACGCUUUGAGUUAAUAGUUCAAAGCCUGACUUAACCCGGAGAGGAAGCAGUGGCUAACUCUGUGCCAGCAGCCGCGGUAAUACAGAGACUGCAAGCGUUAUUCGGAUUCACUGGGCGUAAAGGGUGCGCAGGCGGCCGUGUGUGUGAGGCGUGAAAGCCUGGAGCUUAACUCCAGAAUUGCACCUCAAACUACACGGCUAGAGCAUUGGAGAGGGUAGCGGAAUUCACGGUGUAGCAGUGAAAUGCGUAGAUAUCGUGAGGAACACCAGAGGCGAAGGCGGCUACCUGGACAAUUGCUGACGCUCAGGCACGAAAGCGUGGGGAGCAAAAG